rnacentral:rRNA from 1 species
GAUGAACGCUGGCGGCGUGCUUAACACAUGCAAGUCGAACGGACCCUCUGAUCUUUUGGUUGGUUGGUUAGUGGCGAACGGGUGAGUAACACGUGAGUAACCUGCCCUUCUCUUCGGGAUAACUGUCGGAAACGGUGGCUAAUACCGGAUAUUCAUAUGCUGUCGCAUGGUGGUGUGUGGAAAGAUUUUUUGGUGGGGGAUGGACUCGCGGCCUAUCAGCUUGUUGGUGAGGUAGUGGCUUACCAAGGCUUUGACGGGUAGCCGGCCUGAGAGGGCGACCGGCCACACUGGGACUGAGAUACGGCCCAGACUCCUACGGGAGGCAGCAGUGGGGAAUAUUGCACAAUGGGCGGAAGCCUGAUGCAGCGACGCCGUGUGCGGGAUGACGGCCUUCGGGUUGUAAACCGCUUUCAACUGUGACGAAUUUGACGGUAGCAGUAGAAGAGGCACCGGCUAACUACGUGCCAGCAGCCGCAGUAA